UUGGAAAUUCAGGGGAUGCUCAGA
rnacentral:piRNA from 1 species